rnacentral:rRNA from 1 species
CAGCCGCCGCGGGAAUACGUAGGUCCCGAGCGUUGUCCGGAUUUAUUGGGCGUAAAGCGAGCGCAGGCGGUUAGAUAAGUCUGAAGUUAAAGGCUGUGGCUUAACCAUAGUACGCUUUGGAAACUGUUUAACUUGAGUGCAAGAGGGGAGAGUGGAAUUCCAUGUGUAGCGGUGAAAUGCGUAGAUAUAUGGAGGAACACCGGUGGCGAAAGCGGCUCUCUGGUCUGUCACUGACGCUGAGGCGCGAAAGCGUGGGGAGCAAACAGGAUUAGAUACCCCUGUAGUCCCUGUCUCUUAUACA